UCCUCUCAACAACAAUAUCGGAACGAUC
rnacentral:sRNA from 1 species